rnacentral:rRNA from 1 species
AGUUCGGCUGGACCGGAGACAGGUGCUGCAUGGCUGUCGUCAGCUCGUGUCGUGAGAUGUUGGGUUAAGUCCCGCAACGAGCGCAACCCCCGUCCUUAGUUGCUACCAUUCAGUUGAGCACUCUAAGGAGACUGCCGGUGAUAAGCCGCGAGGAAGGUGGGGAUGACGUCAAGUCCUCAUGGCCCUUACGGGCUGGGCUACACACGUGCUACAAUGGCGGUGACAAUGGGAUGCAAAGGCGCAAGCCCCAGCAAAUCUCAAAAAGCCGUCUCAGUUCGGAUUGGGCUCUGCAACUCGAGCCCAUGAAGUUGGAAUCGCUAGUAAUCGUGGAUCAGCACGCCACGGUGAAUACGUUCCCGGGCCUUGUACACACCGCCCGUCACACCAUGGGAGUUGGUUUUACCUGAAGACGGUGCGCUAACCGCAAGGAGGCAGCCGGCCACGGUAGGGUCAGCGACUGGGGUGAAGU